UAGUAUGAAAAUAGCUGACCACUGUAGC
rnacentral:piRNA from 1 species